GACGAACGCUGGCGGCGUGCUUAACACAUGCAAGUCGAACGGAAAGGCCCUGCUUUUGUGGGGUGCUCGAGUGGCGAACGGGUGAGUAACACGUGUGUAACCUGCCUUUGACUUUGGGAUAACUUCAGGAAACUGGGGCUAAUACCGGAUAGGAGCUCCUGCUGCAUGGUGGGGGUUGGAAAGUUUCGGCGGUUGGGGAUGGACUCGCGGCUUAUCAGCUUGUUGGUGGGGUAGUGGCUUACCAAGGCUUUGACGGGUAGCCGGCCUGAGAGGGUGACCGGCCACACUGGGACUGAGACACGGCCCAGACUCCUACGGGAGGCAGCAGUGGGGAAUAUUGCACAAUGGGCGGAAGCCUGAUGCAGCGACGCCGCGUGAGGGAUGACGGCCUUCGGGUUGUAAACCGCUUUCAGCAGGGAAGAAGCGAGAGUGACGGUAAUGGGUGAAGAAGCACCGGCUAACUACGUG
rnacentral:rRNA from 1 species